UACAGAGGUGGCAAGCGUUGUUCGGAAUUACUGGGCGUAAAGGGCGCGUAGGCGGUCAGCACAAGUCAGUUGUGAAAUCUCCGGGCUUAACUCGGAAAGGUCAACUGAUACUGUGCGACUAGAGUGCGGAAGGGGCAACUGGAAUUCUUGGUGUAGCGGUGAAAUGCGUAGAUAUCAAGAGGAACACCUGCGGCGAAGGCGGGUUGCUGGGCCGACACUGACGCUGAGGCGCGAAGGCGUGGGGAGCGAACGGG
rnacentral:rRNA from 1 species